rnacentral:rRNA from 1 species
UGGCGAGUACAGUGGCGCACGGGUGAGUAACGCGUAGAUGAUCUACCCUUCAGUCUGGGACAACUCUUGGAAACGGGAGCUAAUACCGGAUAAAACCUUCGGGUUGAAAGAUUUAUCGCUGAGAGAUGAGUCUGCGUACCAUUAGCUUGUUGGUGGGGUAACGGCCUACCAAGGCGACGAUGGUUAGCGGGUCUGAGAGGACGAUCCGCCACACUGGAACUGAGACACGGUCCAGACUCCUACGGGAGGCAGCAGUAGGGAAUAUUGCGCAAUGGGGGCAACCCUGACGCAGCAAUGCCGCGUGAGUGAAGAAGGCCUUCGGGUCGUAAAGCUCUUUUAUGGGGGAAGAUGAUGACGGUACCCCAUGAAUAAGCACCGGCUAACUACGUGCCAGCAGCCGCGGUAAUACGUAGGGUGCGAGCGUUGUUCGGAAUUACUGGGCGUAAAGGGCGUGCAGGCGGAUUGGCAAGCCGGAGGUGAAAGCCCGGGGCUCAACCCCGGAGGGUCUUUCGGAACUGCCAGUCUUGAGAGGGUCAGGGGCCAGCGGAAUUCCUGGUGUAGAGGUGAAAUUCGUAGAGAUCAGGAGGAACACCGGCGGCGAAAGCGGCUGGCUGGGGCCACUCUGACGCUGAGGCGCGAAAGCGUGGGGA